ACUCCAGGCUCAGUAUUUUCCCCUACAAAACACUGCAUUUCUGAUGAACCCAUAGGUCUCACCACUAAACAUGAGGAAAUGAAGAAGCAUAAGAUUCCAGGUGGAAAAAGGACAUGGUUGAACAAAAGAUGGAGGAAAGAUAAUUUCACAGGAUCCUAGGUUCCAAUUUCUCCACUGACCCAUUGGAUGACCACCAAAUGAGGCAGGUGGAGGAAACAAAACCGCUGGGUUGUUUUGGGGCUUAAGGGGGCAGGUAUCGGGGCGAAUUCAGAUAUUUAAUACUCAGAGACUAUGUGAGCUUAGAAGAUCCAUCAGAGCUGUUAGAGGUUCUACCAAGCAACCAAAGUUGCCAGCUAAGUCCACCACAGGUGGGGAGCAGUGUCCACCAGAAUGAUAAUAGACAGAGAGAAAGUACUGCAGCUGGAAAUGGAGAAAUGGACCUGAGGACUGCUACGAUUCCAGGCAGAAGUAUUGGCUAUAGACUAUAGAAAGGCACCAGUUCUCAGAGCCUAGCAGAGAACCACAUAUAAGGAAAACUUCAUGAGGAUUCAACAAAGGGAGGAAAGGACUCCCACGGCCCAAAAUCUUGAGAUACCACCUCACCAUGGACCUACAGGGUCUCUAUAAAUGUGCCUCACUUUGUCUUUAAAAUUGAUCCACUCUCCCCAAGACCUUGUGUGUGCAAGAGGAAGAGUGUGUCCCAGUUUGAGGGUCUUUUUUUGC